CCUACGGGGGGCAGCAGUGGGGAAUAUUGGGCAAUGGGCGCAAGCCUGACCCAGCCACGCCGCGUGAAGGAAGAAGGCUCUCGGGUUGUUAACUUCUUUUCUCAGGGACGAAACAAGUGACGGUACCUGAGGAAUAAGCCACGGCUAACUACGUGCCAGCAGCCGCGGGAAUACGUAGGGGGCAAGCGUUAUCCGGAUUUACUGGGUGUAAAGGGCGGGUAGGCGGGAAAGCAAGUCGGAUGUGAAAACCAUGGUGUGAAACUGUGGCCUGCAGUUGAAACUGGUUUUCGUGAGUACUGAAGAGGCAGACGGAAUUCCUAGUGGAGCGGUGAAAUGCGUAGAUAUUAGGAGGAACACCAGUGGUGAAGGCGGUCUGCUGGAGAGCGACUGACGCUGAGGCGCGAAGGCGUGGGGAGCAAACAGGAUUAGAUACCCCAGUAGUC
rnacentral:rRNA from 1 species